ensembl:lncRNA
UUCCACCCAUCCAGCCUGCCUGUCUGUCUCCUCCAGCUUUCUUUGUCAGUGGAUUCAACUGUGGAGAUCUACAACCAAUCCCACAGCAGUGGAAUCGAUUUACACGCCCCGUGAAAACAGAGGACGUCAACAUUCCCUUGAUCAACUCCUUAGUUCACUCCAGAAUUCAGAAAUGAAUUAAAUCCACUGGACACAUCAUGGAGCGUUUCGAAGAAACGGGGCUUCACCAUCCACUUACUGGCCUGUCAGGAGCACCAAAGGGCCAGUGUUAAAGCCUGAAAGUGGCAGGAUCUACUCCAAACUCAUCAACCAAAUCCUGGACAUCCAAAGCACUUGUAUGUAACGGAAAACUUUUCCUUUGUUUGGUUCCUAACAGCCCUGCAGAAACAUCCACCCCUGGACUCUGAUCACCCAGACUGUUAACCACUCCCUCCAAUCUGUCAGUGUCUGACCAGCACUUAAAACCGCUGUCAUUUGCCCUCUUCUGGAGAAAGGCACCCUGGACCAAUUACUGGACCCGAGCACUGUGUUUGACACUGUCAAUUACCAUAUUCUUCCCUGGGAAACCAUCGCACUGCCACAACGAGCUUUGGGUUGUUUCCAGUCCUAUCCCUCAGAAAGGACUGAAUAUCUGUCUUUAGAAGGUUCCAGAUGCCGGACCCACCACAUCACCUGUGGUCCACCAAGGAUCUGUCGUCGGACCCCGUGGUUGGUCCUGUUUGUACUGUUUGUCCUCAAAUCUCAGUCAUGUCGUCAGUCGGUUCCUCUGACACAUGGACCUGUCUGAACAUGUGCCUUGAAAUGAUAAGGGCAAGGAUAAAGUAAAAUGUCCUUUGCUGAACAGCAGGGAAAACAACACCAGCCUGCCCCUUCAGGUCCAGCACCACCCACAGCAGGGCAAAACACCUGUCUACUCCAGACGCUUCAUGACAUCCAGAAGAGACCUGCUGUGAUUGCGGAUUAGAGUGAGACCAUCACAUAACGCCAAACAGCCAAACACCUAGCCUCUCUGCGCUGGCUACCCUGUCAUUUUGGAUUGAAUACAAAAUCCUCCUGUUGACUCCUGUCCCCAGCCUUUGGAAUGUCCACCCGGAGUCCCGUAAGACACCACACAUCCUGGAAUCCUGCUAAAUGGGCCAUACGCCAUUUCAACAUAGGAGAGCUAUCUAUUGAUCGCUCUUUGCUCCUAUAAAAAUGUUUUAUAUCCAAGAAAAUGCCCUUGUUUCCAGACUUUGUUGGUUCGUAAUGAACACAUUUCUAAAAAUGUAGUACAUUACUUACUAUUAAUAUUAUAUCCAAUCUGGGGUGUGUUCAUAGAAGCGAAAUGUUCAAUUUUUUACGUGACACGUGAUCAUAGACAAUAAUAAUAAUGUGAAAGUUCUGUAACGUUGAACCCUCCUGACCGCGCAUCUGUUUACCGCACAGAUGUGUUGCAUCAUCAUCAUCAUGCGCUUUCUUCCUCUACUCUCUCGUCCUCCUCUCUACCGCAGCGCUGGCCUCGACCACAGGGAGGAGAGGUGUGCAAAAAGGCGGCUGAAAUCAAAAAUUAGGACAUUGAUUUUCGUGUGUGGGAGGGAGUUGGGGAGUGAGAGUGUGUGUGUGUGAUAUGUGAGAUGAUGAAUUUCAUUUGGGUUGCAGCCGUUUGCGUGACAGGAGGAAUGCGAAAAUAUUUGUUCAACACCACCGAUGCGUGCAUGUGCAUUUACGCACCCUGGAUCAUGAGAGUCGAAGGCAGAUCCUACAUUUAUCAGAUGAACUGUCUGUUAAUUCACAAACAUCAAAUUUCAAUGUAAGAUGAUCUCCGCCCCAAAUAGUCUAAAUUACACAUUUUUAAACACGAUUGAAGCAGGAAAUGUUUUGACUGAAAGACAUGUCACAGGACAGAGCUGCUAUGUUGUUUUAUUAUUUUGUUCAUUUUCUACGAUGCCGAGUUAAAAGACGCUGUUCCCGAAGUUGAUACCGGAAUUGUCCCAAAUAGCAAAACAGGUUAGUUGGGUCUCCGUUCAUGCAGUCCCUGGGCAGGUCUUCAACAACACAUUCAUCAUUCAGACAAAAGACCAGUCAUGUACCCUAUAACAGACAUUAUGUUCUAUACAAAGGUUUCGUUUUUCAUAACCCCUUUAUGACGAGACCAGGGCUGGCUAACCAUCCUCCUGGAUAGAUAGGCCAAAACCAGUGCAGAGUUCCAAAACCAUCUGCCUGGAAAGGGCUGCCAACGUUGCAGUAGCAUAAGAUCUAAAUGCCACCUCCACCAAUGUCACGAUCUGUGAGAGGGAGUUGUAAGGGACUUGAUCCAUGGAUCAGGAGGCGGAAGCACUACACCCAAUGCCACAAAAGCCUGAGCUUUGGGCGGAGGCCGUAGGGGUGUAGGAAGUUGUCUGACAUUUAGGGGAAACACAUUUUGGUCUGUGGGCCUGCCUCAUUUCGAGUGACUUGAGAAACGGAUUAAGACAAAGCUUAACUUUCAAAUGGGUAUUUUUUACCAGGCUUAACAAGGUUUAAGGGGGCCUUGCAAAGGGGAACUUACACUGGUACAAUUCAGUCUUUGGACCAUGUUCAUUAAUUCUGUGUUUGGUUUUGUACCAACUUAAUGUACAGUAUAUACACAAUUGUUCAUAACAAAGAUCACUGAACAUUUUGAGUUGGUUUGUUAAAACCUCUGUUGGUACUAAAAGCAAACAUAAAAUUACACUAUAGAUUUCGGGGAUGCACAUUUGCAUGCACCCAAAAUAUUUAAACAAGGGCCUUGGAUCACGGCAAGCUUGGCGUGCCAGAAUGUGGCAACGGAUCAGUUCUUUUUCGGAAAGGACCGGAUCUUUAAAGUAACUAAAUCAGAAUUCCAAUCGCUGCUGCUGAGAUCACAUUAGGUUGAUUGCCAAUUAGCGGUACAUGUGUGUCAGCCAUAGAAGAGGUCUGACAAUUAACACCUCGAUAUGUGAGUUUUCAAAGCAACAAGGCCACAAAGAGACUUCCAAAAAGGCCAAAUGGUCCGUCCCUGAAAUGAAGGUGCAUCGGUCGCAAAAACUGCCAAGUUUUUGUCUCAAAAAUCAUGACAGCAAAUACCAAACACGGGCUAAUCGCAUCAACAAAGAGAAACAUUGGUCCCAAGUUGAAGUUGACCAAUAGGGAGAGAUGGACACUUAACAGGAUAGUUGCUCAAUGCCCCACAAGUACAGCCUGAACAACUACUGUACCACAAGUCUGAAUCAGCACCUCUGUGACCCAGUCUGAAUAAAAACUAUAUGUCAUCAGCUUCUCAAAGCUGGAAUUUGUCAGGGCUGCCAUUCACCAACCGCAUGUUUUCGAGGCCAAUGCACAAAGCCUGGACACAGAGCAAUGGAAAAAAGUAAUAAGUUCUGAUGACUAAUCUUUCUCACCGUUCAUCAAGGUUCUGUCUGUAUUUUGCUCUGUUGGUAUUGGAUUGGCCAGGUGAUGAGCAGUACCUGAUUUCUUUCACACAUGAUGCUUAGCAUUCAGGCCAAAGAGUUCAAUCUUGGUAAUAAUAAUUUUGUUUUAAUGGUAUGAGAGUCCAAUCAGGCUGUUUACUGAGGAGUGGCUUGUGUCUGGCCAUUCUACCAUAUAGGCCUGAUUGGUGGAGUGCUGCAGAGAUGGUUCUCCUUCUGGAAGGUUCUCCCAACUUCACACAGGAAUUACGGGGCGCUGUCAGACUGACCUCCUCCCUGAACAAGGCCAAUCUCCCCGAUUGCACAUUUUGUCCAGACAGCAAGCUCUAGGAAGUGUUGGUAUGUCCAAACUUCUUCAAUUUAAGAAUGAUGGACCUUAAUUGCUGCAGAUAUUUUUUCGUACCCAAUCCUAUAUUCAUGUUCAACAGACAAUUCCUUCGACCUCAGGGCUUGGUUAUUGCCCUGACACACAAUGUCAACUGUUGGAUUUUUUAUAGACAGGUGUGAGCCUUUCCAAAUCAUGUCCAAUCCAUUGGGUUUAACACAGAUAGGACUACACUCAAGUUGUAGAAACAUUUCAAGGAUGAUCAAUGGACACAGGACGCACCUGAGAUAUAUUUUGAGUGCCAUACCAAAGGGUUUGAAUACUUAAAUAAAUGUGAUAUUCCUGAUUUUUAUUUUAAAACAUUUCCAGACAUUUCUAAAAACUUCAUUUUGUCUGUAGAUUGGUGAGGGAAAAAUCGAUUUAAUCCAUUUUGGGGUCAGAUUUUGAUCCAUUUUGGGGUCAGAAUAUAAUACAUUUUGGGGUCUCAGUUUAAUCUAUUUUGGGACCAAUAUUGUAUCCAUUUGGAGGUCAGAAUAUAAUCCAUUUGGUGGUCAGAAUAUAAUCCAUUUGGAGGUCAGAAUAUAAUCCAUUUUGGGGUCUGAAUUAAAUGCAUUUUGGGGUCUAAAUGUAUUUUAUUUUUGGGUCUGAAUACAAUCCGAAAGCACUGUAAUAGUUGCUGAUAGUGGUAAGUAUGUACUGUUCAUUCAUAUCUUAAUUAUUAGUCAGUCUGGACACUAGAACAUUUAAGUAGCCAGUAAUGUAGCCAAUGUAUUUCCUCAUAAUAUGUACAAUCUGUGUCUACUCUCUUUUUUAUUGGCCUGGCCUAUUGCCUGCUUGUACAAAUAUACAUGGGAAGUUUGAAGGCAGGGAGAGGCCGCUAUGCAAUUACAGACUCAUGAUAGGAUGAAGCUUUGGUUGCAUAGCUGGCUCACUUUCCCCUUCACUUUCCAUGUCAAUUUAUUUCAUAACCAUAAUGUUUUUUCCUACGUGUCAUAAAGUUGUGUUUUUACUGUUGUUUUUAUCCCCCAACUUUGUGAUUAAGAUCCUGCACACGUUUCAGCAGACUCAGGACAGUAGAUGUUGAGAUGUGUCCAUUGAAGCAAAACAAUUUGCUUUUCUGGUUCUUAUCGGGCUGCUCACACAAACAGGAAGUGAAGACUUGAAUCCGUAUAUGCCAGAAUGACACUCUGUCCCUCAAGCUGCCACAAGAAGAUGCUAGAAAGUCCAGGCAAC